ensembl:lncRNA
UUAAGUUAAGCAACGUUAAUUGUACUUAUCAAUGUUAUGGAUGAGCGCGCUGUUUGUUUGUUUGGUUCUGUUCCUCUCUCUCCAUUUCUGUAGCUUCCUGGUAUGCUGGUAUGAGGAAUAGAGCUACGGCAAUCAAGCUGGCUUUGUAGUGCCUGUCCCGAAUGGCUCGUUCAUGUGAGUGGGCGUAUUGGAAGACACCAUGUCGGUAGGGAUGGAUUUUGUAAAUGUGUUAUAAUGUAUCAUGAGAAACGGAUUACAAAGGUGCAAUGUACAUCAUUCAUUAUGUUUAGCCGAGUGGAAAAUGUAGGCUUUGAUGAUGGUAAUUACCUAAUUAAUUAGUGUUUAAUAUGUUCUGAUGGGAAUGGCUUCCCCUACAAAAGGAGCCUCUCUUUCAGUUCAAAGGUGGGACCCUUUUGGAUUGAGCUGCAUUUUGGAGCAGCAUUGUUUUUUUUUUUUUUUUUAGCUGUCCCAUAAUGUGUACUCUUGAUGGCAGUACUGUAGUUUUUCUUCCGGAUUCACUAUGUAUAUAAACACCCUUGCACAGAAGUACUUUUUCAGCUCCACCAUCCUUUUUAUUUGAUAGAGGUUAGGUUUUUCAGUUUAGCCUUCUGGCCUACUCUACACGUCACUACUGAAAUCAAGCGAGAGUGAGGAUAUUCAACAAUUGGAACAUUUAAUCACCCACGACCUGCAUUCAGAAUGACUGCCAGAGUAGGGAAGAUUGAUAGAUGAGACUAUCUAAAUCAUCUAAACUGGAGCGAUCAUCUCAAUAACAGUUGCUAUUAGACCAACUACUAAAAUGUAUGUUAUUUAUCUUUGUAUAGCAUAACAUUAAUUAACCAAUCAAUGUACAUUGAUUAAACAAUCAGAUAUUGAACAAACAAUUCUGAAAAUCAACAUGCUACAGCAUGCUGGGAAAUAUGAUAAUGAUUGGUGUGGUUUUGAGUGUUUUACUCUACACAAAGCAAAAAAUUACACAAUCACACUCAACUUUGGGUAUUAACAGUAAUACCGGGGUUAUUUUACACCACAAAGUGUUAAGUUAAUUUAACUCCUGAAACAACACUAGAAAUGUUACACUGAAAAUCAACACUAGGUUAAACUGGCCCAUUUGCUGUGUACAGUACUAUACAAUACACUGCUGGUUCACUAAUAUUCC